AGAGUUUGAUCAUGGCUCAGAACGAACGCUGGCGGCGGGGUUUAGGCAUGCAAGUCGCGCGAGAAAGGAGCAAUCCGAGUACAGCGGCGUAAGGGUGAGUAAUGGUUCGUCAACGUACCGAGCAGACGCGAAUAAUUUCCCGAAAGGGAUUGUAAUGCGCGAUGAGACCACGUGGUGCACGCACUGUGGGGUCAAAGGUCGGGGAUCCUUCGGGACCCGGCGCUGUUUGAGCGGACGAACUCUGAUUAGCUAGUUGGCGGGGUAACGGCCCACCAAGGCGAUGAUCAGUAGCCGGGCUGAGAGGCUGUCCGGCCACACGGGCACUGAGAUACUGGCCCGACUCCUACGGGAGGCUGCAGUCGCGAAUUUUUCACAAUGGGCGCAAGCCUGAUGAAGCCACGCCGCGUGCGGGAUGAAGGCCCUCUGGGUUGUAAACCGCUGUCGAGGGAGGGGAACCGCUGCAGGUGAAUAGUCUGCAGUCUGACUGCUCUCUGAAGGAAGCCCCGGCAAAACAUGUGCCAGCAGCCGCGGUAAUACAUGUGGGGCAAGCGUUGUUCGGAAUUACUGGGCAUAAAGGGUGCGUAGGUGGUUUGUUAAGUCAGGGGUGAAAUCCCGCGGCCCAACCGUGGAACUGCCUUUGAUACUGGCGAACUUGAGUGCGUGAGGGGUAGGGGGAACGAGCAGUGUAGCGGUGAAAUGC
rnacentral:rRNA from 1 species